AGAAAAAGUUAGAGAGGCCAGACUAAGAUUGUUUUGGGCAUGUGCGGAGGGACAGUGGACAUAUUGAUCAAAGAAUGUUAGAGAUGGAGCUGCUAGGCAGGAGACAGAGAGGGGGACCAAAGAGAUUGAUGGAUGUGGAUGAGGAAACUUAACAGAUAGUUGGUGUGAGGAUAGAAAAUGUAGAGAACAAGGGGAGGUGGAAGAGGUUGACUUGCUGUGGUGACCAUCUGACCUGAAAGAAGGGGCUGAUCUACUAAACACAAAGUAAACACACAGAUGCUAAGGAGAAAGAACCCAACACAAAACUAAAGAAGGACAAAGAGCCCAGCAGAAAAAAGAACACAAAUAAACAUUCUGUAUCUCUGGAAAGUGCUAGAAGAGCAAAAAAGAAUCCAUGGUCUCCCAUGGAGGUUGUCGCAGUCAUAUUGUUUUAAUGUUUGUCAAUGUGUUGUCUUUUACUACUAUUGUAUAUUCAUGACGU